GACGAACGCUGGCGGCGCGCCUAACACAUGCAAGUCGAACGAGCGAGAGAGAGCUUGCUUUCUCGAGCGAGUGGCGAACGGGUGAGUAACGCGUGAGGAACCUGCCUUGGAGAGGGGAAUAACACAGAGAAAUUUGUGCUAAUACCGCAUAAUGCAGUUGGGUCGCAUGGCUCUGACUGCCAAAGAUUUUAUCGCUCUGAGAUGGCCUCGCGUCUGAUUAGCUGGUUGGUGGGGUAACGGCCUACCAAGGCGACGAUCAGUAGCCGGACUGAGAGGUUGACCGGCCACAUUGGGACUGAGACACGGCCCAG
rnacentral:rRNA from 1 species